rnacentral:rRNA from 1 species
UGGGGAAUUUUGGACAAUGGGGGCAACCCUGAUCCAGCCAUGCCGCGUGCGGGAAGAAGGCCUUCGGGUUGUAAACCGCUUUUAGCUGGGAAGAAAAGGCCAUCGUUAAUAGCGGUGGUUCUUGACGGUACCGGCGGAAUAAGCACCGGCUAACUCUGUGCCAGCAGCCGCGGUAAUACAGAGGGUGCUAGCGUUAAUCGGAUUUACUGGGCGUAAAGCGUGCGUAGGUGGUUUGAUAAGUCGAUUGUGAAAGCCCCGGGCUUAACCUGGGAAUUGCGGUCGAUACUGUCAGACUCGAAAACGGUAGAGGGAGGUGGAACUCCAGGUGUAGCGGUGAAAUGCGUAGAUAUCUGGAAGAACACCGAUGGCGAAGGCAGCCUCCUGGGCCUGUUUUGACACUGAGGCACGAAAGCGUGGGUAGCAAACAGGAUUAGAUACCCUGGUAGUCCACGCCGUAAACGAUGAGAACUUGACGUUGGUUUGCUUAGCAAAUCGGUGUCGUAGCUAACGCGAUAAGUUCUCCGCCUGGGGAGUACGGCCGCAAGGUUG